GACCGAUUAAUAAUUCGAUUUUUACCGAUCGACAACAUACGACUUAGACCAUCGGUAUAAUAAAACUACUAGCCGACGGUCACUCAUGGAUUCUACCGAUAUAUGGUCGGUUCUACCAACAUAUGAUCGAUCAAUCUACUCAACAUACCAUAACUGUUAUGAAUGAUUACCGACCGCAUAUCACGGCACGAUCAGUGAGAAUUAACGAUCCACUA
rnacentral:lncRNA from 1 species